UACGUAGGGUGCGAGCGUUGUCCGGAAUUACUGGGCGUAAAGAGCUCGUAGGUGGUUUGUCGCGUUGUCCGUGAAAACUCACAGCUUAACUGUGGGCGUGCGGGCGAUACGGGCAGACUGGAGUACUGCAGGGGAGACUGGAAUUCCUGGUGUAGCGGUGGAAUGCGCAGAUAUCAGGAGGAACACCGGUGGCGAAGGCGGGUCUCUGGGCAGUAACUGGCGCUGAGGAGCGAAAGCGUGGGGAGCGAACAGG
rnacentral:rRNA from 1 species